rfam:Triticum urartu cultivar G1812 contig1183459, whole genome shotgun sequence.
CUGCUACUCUCUCCGUUCAGAAUUACUUGUCUCAAAAAAUGGAUGUAUCUAGACGUAUUUUAGUUUUAGAUACAUCCAUAUUCAAGACAAGUAAUUCCGAACGGAGGGAGUAUUUC